rnacentral:rRNA from 1 species
GAUGAACGCUGGCGGCGUGCCUAAUACAUGCAAGUCGAGCGAACAGAUGAGGAGCUUGCUCCUCUGACGUUAGCGGCGGACGGGUGAGUAACACGUGGAUAACCUACCUAUAAGACUGGGAUAACUUCGGGAAACCGGAGCUAAUACCGGAUAAUAUAUUGAACCGCAUGGUUCAAUAGUGAAAGACGGUUUUGCUGUCACUUAUAGAUGGAUCCGCGCCGCAUUAGCUAGUUGGUAAGGUAACGGCUUACCAAGGCAACGAUGCGUAGCCGACCUGAGAGGGGGAUAGGCCACCUUGGAACUGGAACACGGUCCAGACUCCUACGGGAGGCAGCAGUAGGGAAUCUUCCGCAAAGGGGGAGAGCCUGACGGAGCAACGCGGCGUGAGUGAUGAAGGUCCUCGGAUCGUAAAACUCUGUUAUUAGGGAAGAACAAAUGUGUAAGUAACUAUGCACGUCUUGACGGUAACUAAUCAGAAAGCCACGGCUAACUACGUG